GAUGAACGCUGGCGGCGUGCUUAACACAUGCAAGUCGAACGGUAAGGUCUCCUUCGGGGGACACACGAGUGGCGAACGGGUGAGUAACACGUGGGCAACCUGUCCCUCACAUCGGGAUAACCACCGGAAACGGUGGCUAAUACCGGAGUACUCCGGCGAGAAUCGCAUGGUCUUUCCGGGAAAGCUCCGGCGGUGAGGGAUGGGGCCCGCGGCCCAUUAGCUUGUUGGUGGGGUAAUGGCCUACCAAGGCGACGAUGGGUAGCCGAGCUGAGAGGCUGAUCGGCCACACUGGGACUGAGACACGGCCCAGACUCCUACGGGAGGCAGCAU
rnacentral:rRNA from 1 species